GGAAUAUUGGACAAUGGGCGCAAGCCUGAUCCAGCAACGCCGCGUGCAGGAUGAAGGCCUUCGGGUUGUAAACUGCUCUUGUACGGAACGAAACGGCCCUUUCUAAUACAGGGGGUUAAUGACGGUACCGUACGAAUCAGCACCGGCUAACUACGUGCCAGCAGCCGCGGUAAUCCGUAGGUUGCGAGCGUUAAUCGGAAUUACUGGGCGUAAAGCGUGCGCAGGCGGUUAUGUAAGACAGAUGUGAAAUCCCCGGGCUCAACCUGGGACCUGCAUUUGUGACUGCAUAGCUAGAGUACGGUAGAGGGGGAUGGAAUUCCGCGUGUAGCAGUGAAAUGCGUAGAUAUGCGGAGGAACACCGAUGGCGAAGGCAAUCCCCUGGACCUGUACUGACGCUCAUGCACGAAAGCGUGGGGAGCAAAC
rnacentral:rRNA from 1 species